CGAGGAGCGGGGACGCGGCAUGGCCCCGGGCGGACGGCGUCAGUGACCGCCGGUGCCCUCCCUGCCCUGCAUUCCGCCUCCGUCGUCUCGGUAUCAAUCAGUGCAAAACCAGCACAAAGAGGAAUCACACAGAAAGAAGAAACUGCUGCAACUGCUUCUGCUGUUGCCAUCCAGAUCAUUGGGACUUUAUGCCAGGAAGCUGCUGCUGCUCAGAAUAUCGGGGCUUCCUUCCUGCCAGAAAGCUUUUAGCAUAGACUUUAAUACUCUGAACUCUUUGCCUUCCAGGCUGAUGGAUUCAUACAAUAAACAACUUUACAGCAACCAA